rnacentral:rRNA from 1 species
UACGGAGGGUGCAAGCGUUAUCCGGAUUCACUGGGUUUAAAGGGUGCGUAGGCGGGCAGGUAAGUCAGUGGUGAAAUCUUCGAGCUUAACUCGGAAACUGCCGUUGAUACUAUCUGUCUUGAAUCCCGUGGAGAUGAGCGGAAUACGUCAUGUAGCGGUGAAAUGCUUAGAUAUGACAUAGAACACCAAUUGCGAAGGCAGCUCACUACACGAAUAUUGACACUGAGGCACGAAAGCGUGGGGAUCAAACAGG